AUACGGAGGAUCCGAGCGUUAUCCGGAUUUAUUGGGUUUAAAGGGAGCGUAGGUGGGAUAUUAAGUCAGCUGUGAAAGUUUGGGGCUCAAACUUAAAAUUGCAGUUGAUACUGGUUUCCUUGAGUACGGUAUAGGUGGGCGGAAUUCGUGGUGUAGCGGUGAAAUGCUUAGAUAUCACGAAGAACUCCGAUCGCGAAGGCAGCUCACCGGGCCGGAACUGACACUGAUGCUCGAAAGUGCGGGUAUCAAACAGGAUUAGAUACCCUGGUAGUCCGCACAGUAAACGAUGAAUACUCGCUGUUUGCGAUACACUGUAAGCGGCCAAGCGAAAGCGUUAAGUAUUCCACCUGGGGAGUACGCCGGCAACGGUGAAACUCAAAUGAAUUGGCGGGU
rnacentral:rRNA from 1 species